UACGGAAGGUGCGAGCGUUAAUCGGAAUUACUGGGCGUAAAGCGCACGUAGGCGGUUAUGUAAGUUGGAUGUGAAAGUCCUGGGCUUAACCUGGGGAUUGCAUCCAAAACUACAUGACUAGAGUAGGGUAGAGGGAGGUAGAAUUUCCGGUGUAGCGGUGAAAUGCGUAGAGAUCGGAAGGAAUACCAGUGGCGAAGGCGGCCUCCUGGAUUCAUACUGACGCUGAGGUGCGAAAGCAUGGGGAGCAAACAGG
rnacentral:rRNA from 1 species